UGCCCCCUGGCGAUGGGCAAAGAGACAUCUUGGUGGUGUUCUUGUAUCAGUCAGGGGCAGAGCAGACGGCACUCCUGUGUUUAUCCUAGCUUGAUGCCUGGCCUGGUAGCCAAAGCUGUCUUAUACCUAGGACUCAUAA